rnacentral:tRNA from 1 species
AAUGAAGUGCCUGAAAAUAAAGGGUUAUUUUGAUAGAAUAAAUUAUGUAAAUUCUUACCUUCAUUA